UUUUCGCACUCUGGAGAGCGGCAGUAGCCGUCUGCACCGCAUGCACUGCAUACGGCGCGCAGACCCGGCAAGCUGCCCACCGAAGGGGCGCGCGUUCAACCGCGGCGAGUCAUCGCCACGGCAGCGCAAUCUCUCAGGUAUCGAGGACAGAGGGGCCAUG
rnacentral:ncRNA from 2 species